rnacentral:rRNA from 3 species
UUGGAGGGCAAGUCUGGUGCCAGCAGCCGCGGUAAUUCCAGCUCCAAUAGCGUAUAUUAAAGUUGUUGCAGUUAAAAAGCUCGUAGUUGAACUUCGGGGUUUACCCAUUGGUCAGGCUUAAUUGUCUGCACUGGUGAGAUGAAUCUCUACCUUCUGAGGAACUUUCAUGCCAUUUAUUUGGUGUGAUGGGAAAUCAGGACUGUUACUUUGAAAAAAUUAGAGUGUUUAAAGCAGGCUAACGUCUGAAUACAUUAGCAUGGAAUAAUGAAAUAGGACGGACUGAUUCUAUUUCGUUGGUUUCUAGGAUCACCGUAAUGAUUAAUAGGGAUAGUUGGGGGCAUUAGUAUUCAAUUGUCAGAGGUGAAAUUCUUGGAUUUAUUGAAGACUAACUACUGCGAAAGCAUUUGCCAAGGAUGUUUUCAUUAAUCAAGAACGAAAGUUAGGGGAUCGAAGACGAUCAGAUACCGUCGUAGUCUUAACCAUAAACUAUGCCGACUAGGGAUCGGACGAAGUUAAUUUUAUAAUGACGCGUUCGGCGCCUUACGGGAAAC